rnacentral:rRNA from 1 species
UACGUAGGUGGCAAGCGUUUGUCCGGAUUAUUGGGUUUAAAGGGUGCGUAGGCGGCUUGAUAAGUCAGUGGUGAAAGCCGAUCGCUUAACGAUCGAACUGCCAUUGAUACUGCCAGGCUUGAGUAUAGUUGAGGUAGGCGGAAUUGACAGUGUAGCGGUGAAAUGCAUAGAUAUUGUCAAGAAACACCAAUUGCGAAAGGCAGCUUCUAAAGUAUAACUGACGCUGAGGCACG